GCAUGAAAGCCUUGUCAAGAACUUGCAAUUGUCUAUGUAUGCAUGUUUUCAAAAGAAAGAUUAUGUGAUUAAUAAGUUAACGGCAUGGUGUACUGCUUACUGAGUAUUAGACUCACUUUGUGUUUAUGUUUUAAACGUUCAAGUAUGAACGAUGAGGCUGGGGAGCUAGGCACUGCUGAGGAAGGAAGGGCUGAUGCUUAGAAUUCCCUGUUGGUUCAAUUUUAAUGAUAAUAGUUAUGUCUUUAUGUUUUUAUGAUGGGUUCCAUGUUGGGACGUUUUGUUGGUUUGACUUUAAUACAAUAUGUCCUUGGAUAAGAAGUAGUUAUUGUGGUGGAGUG